rnacentral:lncRNA from 1 species
AGCCCUGCCACACACGUCCCUGCUCCCAGAAAUUGCCAGAAAGAAUAUCUUGUGCCUAGUGCAUACCAGGUGAGUAAGAUGACCCAUAAAACAGUCCAACAAUCCAGCAAUGUUACGCUGGUGAUGUAUGAGUAUUGGUACGCCUUGACAACUGAAACACAAAUUUCAGGACUACAACAUGUUAAUGUGUUCAUAAUCAGGAGCAAAAAUUGCAUUCUGUAUCUCACUGAAAUGUUUAUUUUACUUGUACCCAGUACUCACCCAGAUAGUUUCCCUGCACAUCAAUCAAGGACAGUGCUAAGUACCAAAACCAAGGUAUCUGCAAGGCAAGAGCACCAAAAAAAGUGAUGUGAAAUCACAUCAGGUAAGUUCCAUGGUUGGUUCUCGUGCAGCUAUUCUCAGUUUCUCACUCGCAGCUUCUGACGACGACAAAAGAGGAUUGGCACAUAAGCUAAGGUCAACAGGAGGUAUGCGAAGAAUGAUUGUGUAAGUGGUGCAUCAACUCCUGCAUAAAUAUAGGGAAUUAUAUCUAUCUCCUGCUUUAUUUUAUAGAAUGAUAUCUUCUGUAUGAAUAAGGCCAUGCUGACGAUUUUUAUUUUAUUUUUGAGAGAAGGAAGAUGGUACCAAGAUUAGCAAUCAGGGAGGAGGCGAAGCUGGCGACGGCC